GGCAGAUGUGUAACAGUUGUGAACAGUAGGAAGUUAUAGAUGCCAUAUUGGGGAGAGGAGGUUGAAAGGACCACAGAGGGAGCAUAUCCUCCCUGUGCAGUUGGCUCCAUUUUAUCCCGGUCCAUACCCAGAGGCUAAAGAACUAAGCAAUAGCAUUAAGGCAAGAUGUCUUGAUUGUAUGGCUGAUGAAGGAUGGAGUCUUUGGCUGUCGCUCGCUUCGCAUGAUCCAUCCCUCCGUAGGAACACCGGUAACUGUCUAGGUAGCUGCUCUCUGGCUCACUGCUAAUUUUGCUCUCACCACAAACCAUCACAUGGCCUCUUGUUUCUGUCUUCCACGCAACAGUUCUUUUUGAAAUCCUGAUCUCAUUGUGUUUUAACUUGUUCUUUUCUCAUAAUUUUCUUCUCCUUCAUAAAGGCCAUGUCCUCUUCUAGUCUGCUAAAGCUGUAAAACUUUCCCCCUAGAAUUCUUUUAUGAUUCCUGAAACAUUCUUAGAGGUACACUUUCCUACUCGGCUUCUGGAUGCUACUUUGUUGUUUCCUUUUCUCUUCAGGGUCCUGGAAGCUUGCAUGGCAGAGAAGAAAAUCUGUUCUGACCUCAUAGUUGCCAGCAGGUACAGCAAGGUUCCUAGACAUAUAAGGUCACCAUGCCUCCAAACAAGAAAUCGAGAAAAUGCUUACUGUGUUGGACAUGAAUAUCUGACACAGCCAGACAUGGUGAUGCAGUUUUAAUGCCAGCACUUGGGAGGCAGAAGCAAGCAGUGAGUUCGAAGUCAGCUUGGUCUUGUAAGUACUUGUCUCAGAAGCAAACAAACCUGAUAUAAGCUACUUAAGUGUGGGCCUGGGUACCAGAGGCUUUCCACGGAGAUCUCUGGUCCCGCCAGGUGCGAGGGUUCCUGUGAAGGGAAGCCUGUGCAGGCAGGGAGGGGAAGUCGCUUCCACCGCUGCUUCUGCUGCUGCGGUUGGCUCCACCUCCGUCUCUGCCCUGCCUCCAGGUUACUCGGUUACAGCAGUGCGCUGCCCUGCACUGAGUCGGGUAGGGCUAGGUCAACCAGAGGCUGACUAGCCAGUGAGGAGUGCGGCAGAUCGUCAGGCGGCGUUUCGGAAGAGCAGACCUCUUCCCAAGUGUACGGCUCUUUGGACAGAAGGCUGGGACCCAGGGGUAGUUCUCGCACCCCUAAUCCUUCCAGAUAGGAUUCUUAUAUACAGUUUUGGGGUGGUUAAGGGUCUGACAACAGGCACUUCUCAUUGGUUUGUCUGAGAGCUUUGGGGAAACCUUAUUUGCAUGUGGAAGGAGGUGACUAAUGGCUACAUACAUCUCUGCAGGGGGCUGUGGGAGGCUGUAGCAGUGACAGGAGCCAGGGGCCCAGGAGGCAUGGUCAAACACCUUCUGUCCUAUGCAGGUGGAAAUCACCACCCACUGGGUCACAGGGGUUCCAAACCUUUGUUCCACCAGGGAUCAGGCUGUCUGUGCACAGCCCACCACCCCACACACUCAAUCAGAGUGGGGGUGAAGUUGAGGAGCAACUUUAUUUCAAGGUAAACAGGAAACGGGGGAUAAAGGAGGGGCCAGGAUAAGGGAGAGCCUUGUGGUAGUUUAAG
rnacentral:lncRNA from 1 species